rnacentral:rRNA from 1 species
AGUUUCUAGUAUGGCUCACCAAGGCGACGACGGGUAGCCGGCCUGAGAGGGCGACCGGCCACACUGGGACUGAGACACGGCCCAGACUCCUACGGGAGGCAGCAGUGGGGAAUAUUGCACAAUGGGCGAAAGCCUGAUGCAGCGACGCCGCGUGAGGGAUGACGGCCUUCGGGUUGUAAACCUCUUUCAGCAGGGAAGAACCGAAAGUGACGGUACCUGCACAAGAGGGGCCGGCUAACUAGAAGACAUGAUGCGCGGUAAGACGUAGGGUGCCGCCGUUUGCGGGAAUUAUUCCGGCUCCUAACCACACAAGU